UACGGAGGAUGCGAGCGUUGUCCGGAUUUAUUGGGUUUAAAGGGUGCGUAGGCGGACUGUCAAGUCAGCGGUAAAAUUGAGAGGCUCAACCUCUUCCCGCCGUUGAAACUGGUGGUCUUGAGUGGAUGAGAAGUACGCGGAAUGCGUGGUGUAGCGGUGAAAUGCAUAGAUAUCACGCAGAACUCCGAUUGCGAAGGCAGCGUACCGGCAUCCAACUGACGCUGAGACACGAAAGCGUGGGGAUCAAACAGG
rnacentral:rRNA from 1 species